GGUGGGCUCUCUAUGCCUUAAUGUCUUUAGACCUGCUCUGCAACUACCUGGCAAAACCACCAAAUAUCCUCUGUGGGCAGGAUUCCUUAUAAGGCAGCUUGCAGCAUUAGAAAAGAAACUACCCACCCUUGGUAGAGGGAUGAGAAUACAGCAUAAGUGGCCAAAGCUGUCGGUUUUAGAGUCAGACAGAGCUGGUCUGAACCUUGGUUCUGACACUUACAGGCUGUGCAACUUAAGACAAAUUGUUUAACCUCUCUGAAUCUUGACUUCCUGUUCUGCAAAUGGUGGUAUAUACUUCAUAGAGUAGUCAUUAGUAUCAAAUGGAAUAUUAUGCUUCAACCACAAAGAGGAGAGGUUCCCUGCCUUUGUUCAUACUGAGAAGAUGCACAAUAAAUGGUAGCUAUUCUUAAACUACUACCUGCUAUUUGUAUAUUGUUUUGAACUUCUCAAAGCAUUCUCAUAAUUUGAGUCUCAUUUAUUCCUUACAAUCAGCCUCUGAGGCAAAUGGGCGGUAUACCCACUUUACAAGCAAGGAGAGAGAGUUGUUUCUGAGGACUUCCACGGUGCAGCAAGUUCCGGGGAAGUUGGCUUCACCUGACAGAUGAGGCAUGGUGCCUUGUAUCUCACAAAUGCUCAAAAAAUGCUGACGGGCGAGUGAAUGGUGCAGUCAGCGAGCUCAAGUUGACAUGGCAGGCCUUCAAGUGUUAGUUGGGGGCUGUUGAGAACUUUGGAGAUGAAGACAUCGAGAUUUACAGAGAUUCAGUAACUUGAUGACAGUCAUAAAACUAAGACCUGAGGAGGGAUGAAGAGACACAACAAAGACCUGGCAUCUGGAGCACAAUUGUGUGAAAAGGGCCCAGGCUGUUCAAUGACGUGACAGUUCUCUUUUAUCACAGCAUCUCCCUCCUGGCAGCCACUUUCUCCUCACCUUUGAGCCUGCAUGUGCAUUCAAGGCCUUGAGUUUAGCCACUAGAAUGAGGACUCCAAGAACCAAGCCUCCUAUCAGGAGCUGUGGCCCAGCUGCCCCAGGUCUUGGCGCCUCUGGAAGCCAGGCCCAUGGGAUCUUGCAGCCUGCACCUCUUCUGCCCUCCUGGUUGGGUCCUCAGAUCACCGAGAAGCCCAACCUCUCUGCUCUGCUCUCCGCCUCCUACUCCCCUCCCCCACCAACCAACCCACGCCUUUUCAGGGCAUAAGGGACCUUUUCUAUUUGCGGAGCCUAAAGAAGCCCGUUGCCAAGGUGACAGGAGCAGGAACAGCAGGGAGCUUGCCAUGGGGGAGGGGCUUUGCCCCCAAACAGCUGUCAGUGGGAGCAGUCCCAGCUGGGACUAGAGUGUUUGCCUGCUCUGGGAGGAAACAGCCCCCAGGAGAACGCAUUCCUCUCUGCUCUCCUCCCGGCACUGCCUCCUCCACAAGUCUCCACUGGUUACUUUCCCUGGGGGCAACCAGCCAGCCAGCUAAAAAAAUGCUCCAAUAGCAAAAACCUGCCACUCUGCUCCCCAUCCCUCUCUCUCUCUCUCUCUCUCU